CCACAGAGCGGGCUCACAGGCUGUGUGAAGUCAAAGCUUCUGGAAGGCUGGCUAAACCAGCAUGGGAGAGUUGAGCAUAGUUCAGUGUGUUUGUGUUGCACUCUUUCACCGAGUUGUAAAAGGAAGCAGAACAAAAACUGUCUACUCUUUAGUUGACUGAUGUAGCUGGCAAGGUGAGAGGGGUGACAGGGGUCUCAGCAGAGUCAGGCAGCCAGGGAAGACCAGUCCGUGACAGACGUGAGGUGCAUUUUUUGCCGAGACAACACUUUUUCUCUCUAUCCAGCAAACACUGGACAAUACUAUUUUAAGGCAAACCUCCAAAGUUGAUUUCUAAACGUUAUCAAGGGUUGAUAGAGGCUUUUCCCAAUGAAAAAUUGUAAAACAAAAACAUGAGGAAGACCUGGGAGAUGCUAUUGAUGAUGUGUUAUUAAAUGUUAUUAUUCUGCUGGAUGUUUAAAGCACAAAAAGGGACAUAUUUGCAUAUAUCUUGUGAAGGUUGAAGGUUGGCUGAAUUUUGGCAGAGUAUGUUCUUUUAUCUCAGAAUAUCUACAGAUUCUUCCUUCUCCCUGUUUUUGUUUCCUUGGAAAUGUUGAUACUGGAGACUGUUAUCAGAAGAAACUGUGUAACCUAGCAUUUCUAGUGGCUAAUAAAUGCAUUGCCAUUAA